CAAAACUUUUGCACGCUGAGUGUUGCAAAGAAAAGAAACCCUUCUUUUUAAUACCUCGUGGUUUUAUCAAGUUUUCUUUUGCGCUACGAAAAAUGAAUCCAUCUUACGUACAUUCCUUUUAUCUGGGCAAUCUUACUUUUGACCAAAAACUGGAUUACUUGGAGCUAAUGAUCAAGCAGCUGCAAAGUGACAUUCAAGAUUAUAUCACACAUUUUGCUAAGGAAGAACGUGCCGAAAAGAAUUCCGAAAACGAGGAUGUCAUCGUAGUGGACACUGAUGACGAGCCUCAGUUCAAUUGAAAAGAACUUUGGCAAAUUGUAAAGCUGACUAAAAUAUGUACAUAAAUAAGUAAUUAUAAUCCCUAAAAACUAGUUAAAUAGUUUUAGUUAUCAAGGGGCAUUAGACGUGUUCGAAUAUUACCCGGAACUCUAAUUUUGGAACUGGAAUUGCUCUUUUUUCUUCAAGUUUCUGGACCAUUUAAACAUUCUCUUUAACAACAUGCAGAUGACACAGUUUUCGAAUGGUAUGGGAGGGCCAACACUAAACACUUGACAAUAUGACCCAAAACAUUAUGUUCUCCAUACCAAAUUUUCCCAUUGCUAAUUUCCAAAGAGACACAGUAUUUUGUACCCACUUAAUGGUUUGUUUUCGGUUGACAACUUUUCGUCUGGUUUUGUUGGCACUUUACAUUUGUUUGGCCUGCGGUUCGAGUCGGUUUGGGUUGGAUGGCCAUCGAAAGGAUAAGUUAAGGGCCUGGACAACAACUAACAACUAAUUUAAUACAAUUAGUGUAAAAAGUUUUUCAACAAUUGCCGCAGGCACAUUUAAAGUUUUCAACGGCCGCAAAUGUCCGUACGUAAAUUUUAACUACCAAAUAGUUUUAAUUAAAUUUAUCAAAUUAUGACAGAAAAUUCACUUAAAACUAAGUGCCAGCCACAGACACUUGACAUUUUUAGUCAAGUGAGAUGAAAAAAGUUCAUUAAAUUCAAAAAUUUUCUGUUAUCCCUGCAAUCAGUCCUUUGUCAAUUCAAAUCCCCUUGCAUAUGUUUCAAAAUCUCAUUCGUAUUUAGCUGCUUACCCUAUGAUUUCAAUUUUUCUGUCUCUCUGCACUUGUUCAAAAAUAAUAUACUAAUCAUAAUAACACUUA